AACGAAAGCUGGCGGCAGGCCUAACACAUGCAAGUCGAGCGCCCUUUCGGGGGAGCGGCGGACGGGUGAGUAACGCGUGGGAAUAUGCCCUUCUCUACGGAAUAGCCUCGGGAAACUGAGAGUACUACCGUAUACGCCCUAUGGGGGAAAGAUUUAUCGGGGAAGGAUUAGCCCGCGUUGGAUUAGGUAGUUGGUGGGGUAAUGGCCUACCAAGCCGACGAUCCAUAGCUGGUUUGAGAGGAUGAUCAGCCACACUGGGACUGAGACACGGCCCAGACUCCUACGGGAGGCAGCAGUGGGGAAUCUUAGACAAUGGGGGCAACCCUGAUCUAGCCAUGCCGCGUGAGUGAUGAAGGCCUUAGGGUUGUAAAGCUCUUUCAGCUGGGAAGAUAAUGACGGUACCAGCAGAAGAAGCCCCGGCUAACUCCGUG
rnacentral:rRNA from 1 species